rnacentral:rRNA from 1 species
UACAUUAGAUACCCGGGUAGUCCCAGCCGUAAACUAUGCUCGCUAGGUGUCAGGCAUGGCGCGACCGUGUCUGGUGCCGCAGGGAAGCCGUGAAGCGAGCCACCUGGGAAGUACGGCCGCAAGGCUGAAACUUAAAGGAAUUGCGGGGAGCACCACAACGGGUGGAGCCUGCGGUUUAAUUGGACUCAACGCCGGGAAGCUCACCGGAUAAGACAGCGGAAUGAUUGCCGGGCUGAAGACUCUGCAUGACUAGCUG